UACGGAGGGUGCAAGCGUUAAUCGGAAUUACUGGGCGUAAAGCGCGCGUAGGCGGUUUUCUAAGUCAGCUGUGAAAUCCCCGGGCUCAACCUGGGACUUGCAGUUGAAACUGGAAAGCUAGAGUAGGGUAGAGGGGUGUGGAAUUCCAGGUGUAGCGGUGAAAUGCGUAGAUAUCUGGAGGAACAUCAGUGGCGAAGGCGACACCCUGGACUCAUACUGACGCUGAGGUGCGAAAGCGUGGGGAGCAAACAGG
rnacentral:rRNA from 1 species